UCUGAUAACAAUAAUGGUAAAAUGAUGCGUACAUGUCAUAUAAAUUAUAAAACAUGAGAAAUAUUGACUGAGCUGAGAAACGAGUAGAAGCAUAGUCAUGAGUGUUCAGCCUUCAGGUUUAUGGCUCCACAACUCCCCGGCAGUCACACCUUCUCUCUUUCUUCAUGGUGGCGGAGGCGGAGGGGGGAGGUCUUCCCCUUCAGUUCUCUUUGCCACACCCAACCUCUCUUCCCAGUCACCCACCAUUCAGGCAAGAAACCAUUCGAUUGUUGGUGUGAAAGGCCAUGAUGGAUAUGGCAAUGUCAAUGUGAAAAGCAACAAUGUAUUUGAUGGCUUCCAAGGAUCUUGACAAUGAUCUUUAUUACUGGACAAAGGCAUUGCGUCCUGUGCAUGUAUUCUUAUUUUGAAUUCAUGUUGCCCUAUGUAUAAGCUUAGUUGCUGUAGCUAAUUCUAUGUAGGGGGUUAAUUGGGCAGUGGUUUCCUGGUCAUAUUGCAAAAGCGGAGAAAGAACUCAAGGAGCAACUUAGGUUGAUGGAUGUUGUCAUUGAGGUGCGAGAUGGCAGAAUUCCAAUGUCCACAACUCAUCCACAGGCAAAUUUGUUUGUUUGUUUUGGUUGGAGGCGGGGGAUUCUCUAUUGUUGAUCAAUAGACCAGUUUCGGAGCAAUGCUUGAGUUAUCUCCAUGUUUGGUUAUUUAUUUAUUAAACACAGGAUAACAAUUUCUGGAUCUUUGAAAAUGGAUAGGCUUCUUUGUGACAACAUCUUGAUUCCCCCUUUCGCUUCUUCAAACUUAUGAUUCUCAGCCUUUGCUCAAUGCAGGUGGAGAUACUCUUCGAAAGCAAUACAAGAUUGAUGUAGAUAGUCAAUGCAGUAAAACAUUUGUAGAGAAGCUUGCACUCCAAGUAUUUAAUGGAAAUCUUCAACAAUUCGGUUGGACUGCACUGGAGAGGCCUCCUAGAUGAUGGAUCAUGUGAUGUCGGCUUUCGAAAUCAGAAGUCUUGUGAAGCUUGAAUUGAAGGUAAGAAUAUCUCCAGGGCUAGAACUCAAUCCUCCUUAGUGAUUAUGAAUGACAUACAUGGAGGACAAAGGUGGUGAAUGUUCUGAAAAAGACAACACCAUUAAAGAGUUUAAGUUACCCCCAAACUAAGAAUGCUUCCUGCUGUUACCAUGGAAUUAGUUGGCUUACACUUCCCAAGCUUAUACUCUAAUUCUAAAGCCACACCACAUAUUUUGGGUUUGAUCAUUCUUUCUACUUAGUCCUCAAAAUACGAAUGGAUGGU